CUCGCCUCGAGCCGGCAAACUAAUGAUCAUUUACGUUACGGCCCAACACGCAACGUCGUGUUCUCGUUCCUUUGGUCCACCACCACCGAACACCACCCAACCUAGGCGGGUGUAACGACGGGCAGAGGGGCGAGACGCCUCGAGGGCCAUCUCAUUCCCCUACGUCGAAUCUCUCUCUCUCUCUCUCUCUCUCCUCUCUUUCUCGGUCCUUUUCUUUCUCUUUACCACUACCAACAACAACGUUUUUCUCUUUUUAGGCUGCGGAAAAUAGCGCACACGUACGUACGUACGUACGUACGGAAUGUUCGGUGGUUGGGCGAAAAGGACGCCGCUAGCACAGGGAUGAGCGAGAGAGUGGUGGAAAGGGGUUGAGCUCUUGACAUAUUGCUACCUAGGCAACUCGACGAAGUGCUCUUCACCUACCCCUUCCCCCUGCUGCCGCCUAUCUUUGUUUCUUCGUUUCUCGCUCUCCUCUCCGUUCCUGCACAGUCCCUCGACACCAUCUUUCUCUCUUGCUUGCUUUUUUUCGCUCGUGCACCCUUUCUCUUUCCUUUCUUGUUCGGUGCACUCUCUGUUCUACGGCCGGGCCGCCAGUCUGCAGCGAGGUUCGGUCGGCGUUGCAAGCAUCUCGAGAACAAAAAAAAGCUACCUCCUUUUCGCGGAUGCACGCACGUCUCUAUCUGAACGAACGGGUCGACCGACGACUCGUACGCGGACACGCUCGAAAAUCAUGUGGAAUCGUAAAUUUUCCUGGAAACCCGUACUCCAGGGGUUCGUUUCUCAGUUACGUUCUCUUAUGUUAAAGGACGUCGUCGCGACUCGAUGCGUCGACGUCCCUGAUUCUCAUCGUCUGUAAUCUCGCGAUCGAACGAUGCAGCUUCUCGAAUCGCGCGGAGCCGUCACGCUCGGUGUGUAAGUGACGGAUAUUUUUAACCCACUUUAUACUGCACCCUAUGUUACUCUGUGCACCGAAAAUCACGUUGCAACGAUGAAAUAAUUACGUUCACCGCUCGGCAGCUCUGGAAAGCGUUUUCGACAAAGAGAACGCUCCUUUCAUCGGAAACUGUUCACAUAUUAAGCAGCGCCAGCAAGAAGGUAAUAUGGGUGUGCAUUCUCUGUCGCAAGAAGCAAGAAUUGCUGUCGAAGACCGGACAAUGGAUAACGAAGGCGGGCCUAGCAGCCGGGGACAACGCGAUGCUGCGACGGAUGCAGGACAUGCAGGUGGGUGGUCCUCCGGGACUCGUGGACCAAACUCAGGAUAAAAGACCGAAACUCGAGAGAGCGCACAGCGCGGCUGAAAAGGAGAAUUUACCAUUGUUACUAAGGAGCGGAAGUUUGCUCAGAAGACAGUACUCUCAGCAAGAGCAAGGCCCAGGGCGUCGACUGCCAACGAGCGAUAGCGGAGUGGAUAUGUCCGUUUCGCCUCACUCGAGAAGCCUGCCGACGCCCCACGUAGCUUCGCCGCAUCAGAUGCAACAACCGCCGAGGCAUCCGGACGCGUACGCGGAGGAUGACCCAAAUCUGUACAGAGGCGAGAUCGACGGUCUUAUGAAACAACAGAACUACCAGAGACAACGACCGAUCUACCCGGAUCAGAACACGGAUCUCGCGAUGACAUACGGUCAACCAACGGUAGAAGCGGGCCCACCACGAAGCGCUGUGCAUCCUACUCAGCAACACUCGGUGCAUCAAACGCAAAGCGCGCACCCACCGCAACCGAUGGGUGGUCAGGUUGGUCUUCAGCCUCAGAGAAGCUUCAGCAGCAGCGAGGAAGAGCGAAGCACACCCGAGUGUGCUAGCGACGAGCCUGACGAGUCCGAGAAGGGGAAGGGGUACUACCACCAUACGGGAGGUCCGAUAUCAAUGUCCAGCGGUGGACGUAGGCACAACGGACCUCACAACGGGCACCACAACAUGGCCGCGAUGACCAUCGAAUAUAACGGUCAUCAUCCACCGCGAGAGCCGCGAAAAGAGGAGAGCACUCUCGUGAGACGGAGCUUCCGAAGGAGUGGCGACGAGUGGCGCUCCGACAGUAGGAGGUUCACGGAGAGGAGGGGGAAAAAGACAGUGCGAUUUCACGGUGGGACCAAUGUCGGCGGCCCUCAGGAGGAUUGGUCUUGGGAGGCCGAUCGGCAAGGUAGCCAAGACAGCGCGACCAAAGACUCCGGAAUAGACACCUCUAGCACGUUCACGAGCAGUGAGGACAGCAACAGGGGCGACCUGCCCAAGCAUCCAUUAUCCUGGCAAGUGAGCAGAGACGGUCAGAAGAUCAUUGGCCACAUGGUGUUGCGAAAGCAGCCCGGAAGCGGCUCCGGAAGCAGUAGUAGCAUACUGGGGCUGAAAGUGGUCGGCGGCAAACUGUUGGAGGAUGGCUCUAUGGGCGCCGUCAUCGAGAAGGUCAAGAAGGGUAGCACGGCUGACAUAGAAGGUCAACUGAGACCCGGUGACGAGGUGAUCAAGUGGAACGGCAGGUCCCUCCAGGGCAAAAGCUUCCGUGAAGUUUACGACAUCAUCGCCGAGUCGAGACAGGAGCCUCAAGUGGAGCUGGUAGUUUCGCGGAAUCUAUCGUCGACGACGGGUGCGGUGACGAUGCCUGCGGGGCUGACACCCACAGCGCCGAUGCCGUCAAGGAAGAUCGCCGCGCAGAUCCAAUGGAGACAAAAGCACCCGGAGACGAUAUCCGGGCCACAGCAACCGCAUCACAAAGAUUAUAUGAUUUUUCGUAUUCCAGGUCUUAAGAAAUGUAUUCUAUGGGAGUUAUACGACGCGAGGCGCGAGAAACCUUCGGUUUUAGUGACCUCGCCGGGCUCGCCGGAUCUUCACGCUCAAGGACGCGCCAGGCACCUCCGACAUACUUCCGGCAAUGCGAACGUCGGAGGUAAUCUUCAGGUGAAGCUGAGCUUCGAUCCCGUGGCGCUACGGUUGAUCGUCACGUUGAUCUGUGCGGCUGGGCUCACGCCCAGGAGCAACGGCCAACCCAGAAAUCCCUACGCCAAGAUCUUCCUGCUUCCGGACAAGAGCGAAAAGUCGAAGAGACGAACGAAGACGUUGGCGAACACGAACGAUCCAAAGUGGAACCAAAUGUUCAUCUACGAUGGAAUCAGGAGGCCAGAGCUGAGGAAAAGGGCGUUAGAAGUAACCGUGUGGGACUACGGGAAGUACGACACAAACGAUUUUCUCGGCGAAGCGAUACUGGAACUGGCGACAGCUCAUCUCGACGAGGAGCCCGAGUGGCAUCCGCUGACCGGCCAUGGGGAACACCGACAUAUUGGAUACUAUCAGGAGCCCGAUGACAUGGUGAUAACUCCGGUGGACUGCCAUCUCAGUCCACCGUCGACGACGUCGCGGCUGAGCGACUCUGACACUUCCGAAUGCGAUAUCACGGACUGCGACGUCUCCAGGGAGCAAAGGAGAACAGCUGACGGUGCCAGUAUAAGCAGUAUCGGCAGUUCCUCCAGGUUUCAUAAUAUGCCGUCAAAUUAUAAGCGCCACUAUUCUAGUCCCCCGCCGGAAAGGGAGCUGUGCAUCGACGGGGAGCAUCGAAGUCGAAGGGACAUGUCGCCGCAGGGGCGUAAACGGGCCGCCAUCAUGAUACGGGAUCAGCCAGCGUCUAUUUCUGGUUACCAGACCUAUCGCAAGGACGAUAUUCAUCGAGGAAUGAUGGGCCACAGGUCGCAUAGUGCAGCACCUAUGGACUCGCCGAGCCUUCGGUAUCGCGGAAGGUCUCAAAGUCCCACCGGUCAUCGCUCUCUGUCUCCGCCGGAACAUAGAUCCAUGCUUUACUCGCACGGCUACGUUCCACCCAGAUUCAGCUCGAGGUCUGCGACAGCCACUCCCACCGGAAGUCCGAAGAAGAGACAAUUGCCUCUGAUUCCGACGGCUCUGAAGGAAAGGGCUGUUCAGGAUCCCGACGAACGGGCGAGAUUUAUGAGACACCGCAAUAGGCAGGUGCAUACCACGUACAGGAGUACGGGUACGGGAGGUUGGGAAAGACACUAUAGCGGACUGUCGGAUUCGGAUCUGCUCUCGAUAGAUCAGGAUCCGUUAUCUUUGCCGCACAGUCACCCUUAUCGAAUGCACAGACCGCGAAGGGGAAAUUUAAGUCCUGACAAAGACGUACUUGGUGAUCUUGGUGACUCCGAUAUGGAGAGUAUAGCCUCCGUGACGAGCAGUGCCUUCAGUACGCAAUCGGAACGACCACGUGGCUCUAGAGGACUAAUACCGACAGUUAAAAACGUUUUAAUACCCGGUGUCAUAUCCCCUAUGCCCCUGCCCCCUAGGCGCAAUAGGCGCAGGCACAGACUUAGGGUACCCUGCAGCGAAUGUCACUGUCCGAACAACAAUCCCACCAAGCCCAGGAGCAACAACCCCAGCAAGCACAAUCCCACCCCGCAUCCCCUCGUACGGAGCAAGUCCGCAGUGGUGCGCUCGUUGUACAGAAAGAUGCGUACGCCGUUCACGAGGUCGCAGACCGUCGACGAGAACAUGCUGAGAUAUUACAGCCCGGAGACCAGCGAGUACAGCGUCUCCGAGGGGUACUUGCUCAAGCCAGAGGAGCUAACCGGUAGCUCUAAGAAUCGUAUACCGGAGAUAUACGUGGAGGAUUGCCUUCAGGUCGACUUCAACGAUCGCCUCAUCGAGAAGUUUCGCGACAGAUACUCGUCGCCCUAUCAACUGGACUCCGGUAUGCGUAGACGGUCGCGUAGCUGGCAAGAUCGUACCGGCAGAACCGCGAAAUCUAGGCACCACUUGUUCUCGAGAGGCUUGCACGACUUAACGGACGAUCACGGCAUUAGGAACCUAGACGUUAGCUUACGGCCGCGUAGAUCGUUUUUAUUCUCGAAGGCUAGGAGCUUCGACUACGACGUGCUACACGAUACCUACGCUGAUCGUUACGGUUUCGGACUAGGCACGGGCAUGCUCUCGCGUAGAGCCAAGAGUUUCGAGUACGACACUAUAUCAAGCAACAUAUUCAGCGACGACAGCCUGAGAACCGCCCGUCGUAAAUUGAAGAAGAACAUGGCCAUUAACGAUGCCGGUUACGGCGACAAGAUACCAGCUCUAGGCGAUCAGAGUAAAUCGUACUUCGACUCGAACAGCGACGACAAGAUGCCCAAGAUUCUGCUCAAUCGAGAGAAGAAUUACGACUACAUGCUGAAGCAGGAUCACAAACCAUUCUAUGGGUACGAUUCUGAAUUUAGUUGCGGCGAGACGGAGAUUUAUAUGCCGCGCUUCGACAAACAGAACAUAGAUAUGGACCUUGCCAGUAAAGGUUACCAUUCGUACGAACUGUCGGAGGAAAAUUCCUUCAGCAGCGACGAUCAAAUAGGUCUGCGGAACGUCCUUGGCCGUGAAGAUCCCACCAAAAGGAAAUACAGAGACUCGACGUUCCAGGAGCACGAUUCCGCGUUCGGUCGAGACAUAUCCAAGAAACGAACGAAGAAUCUCGACAGCGAUAUCUGCGACCCGGCUAACGAGCACAUUUACUGCAGUAUCGACGAGGCGCUGUCAUCCGCGGAGAAGUACGGCACGGACAGGGACAUUACUUGUUCUUCGAUGCGCGCAGCCUCGGAUUUAGAGCACUACGACAAUCAGAGAACUAGCGGUCGUUCUCGAAGAAGAAGGAAAAGCAGCGAAUCGUAUCUGCAGAACGGAUACGAUGGUUACAACUGGGAUAUCGAAUACGACGAAGGGUUUAUCGACAGAGGGAACGUCGACGAAUACGACCACCGGUUGUACGAUUACGAGGAUGAAAAUAUUCCAAGAACCAACGCAGAAAUGUACGAGGACGAUUACUAUAGAAGAAGAGACAGCAGUCGAAGUAGUAGACGUAAGAAAAGAUCGUCGCAGUACGUUGAUGCUGACUACAUCGGUGAUUAUCGUGACUAUCGUUCCGCGGAGGAGUACGAUUAUCAAGCGCACAGCGGCCCAGAGUGUGUUGGAGCCGACGCUUAUCAAGAUAACACGCUGCCACGAAGGAGAAAGAGGAGAAGUAGAAGGGGAAGCAGAGAAGUUAGUACGGGUGUCUACGAGAACUUACCGUAUCGAGAUACGAUAUCGAGCACGAGGGGCACGUUAACCGUACCGAGUUUAUCCGAUAGCAAGCGAAUGAUGCUGCAACGAGCAGAAUCUACGCCGAUCUUACGUUCCGACGAGGAAUUGAGUUCGUCGGACAGAGCGGAAAGAGCCAGACGUCUGUAUCGUCGCAAAAGGAAUAGCAGCUGCCCCGAAGCUAGAGAGCUCCGAUACUACGAUCCUCCACGAAGAAAAGACGAAGAAAGAAGUACGAACUUUAUUCUGGACUCGGACGAGGAUUUCGGUUCGAUGGAGACGGUCGUGUGCGCGGACUGUUUCCGUCAGAAGAACGUAACGGGCACGGUGGUUAGCGAUGAUAUUAGAUCGGGCUACUACGACGGGGAACAGGUUCGCGAUGGUUACGUAGACUCAAGAUACGACUACGAAAACGUUCAGACUCGCGAUUAUCGGGAACCAUACGAACUGGCUAGGUCGGGAUCACUGCGAUCGUCGUCGCAGUAUCGCGGUAGGCGAAAAACUAGUUGUCCGGAGUGUCGAGAAUUAGCGAUGUCGUACGAAUUAGGUAGGUCUGGCUCGUUCUCGCGAAAGAGCGAAGAGAGGAGACCUUCGGUAGAAUCGAGACAUAGGUACCGUAGACGAAAUAGCAGCUGUCCGGAGCCUAGGGAUCUCGAGCUACUCGAGAAGAGGCAGCAGCAACAACGUCAUCAGCAAGCCCAGCAGCAUCCGAGUCAACAACAGCAGCAGGGUAGUAAGAGGAACGUAGCGAUCAGCGACACCCUCGAGUACUACGAGUACUCGAUGGAGAGCGAGAGCCAGUGCAGCGAGAACUGCGGAUUUGGCCCGUGCGAUCCGCGUAGGCCUCGUAACCGAGCACCCCACCCCGGUAACGCUAAUUCAAGUCUCUUUGAUUCCCAAACCGCUACCUCCGACACUACUAAAAACUACCACCCACGGGCCGUCGAUCACCACGAAACCUCACGAAACACGAAACUGUCGCGGCGCGACAACUUCACCGAUACCGCUGUCACCUCGUCGUCGUCCCCAACGUCGUCGACUCGACGGCGUUCGCGGAAAAAAACCACCGCCGACGAUGCCUCCGCCGCCGUUAACCAACAACGUGACGACGCGCGGGAUCGCCGAUCCUCCUCCAUGCCCGAAAGCAGCGAGUACAGUCAGUCGGGCUCGUACGAGAAGCCGUCCAGGACCCAGCCAGGCGAUAACGAGCACGACGACCAUAAAAGGGGUCAGUUCACCAGGAGUCUUAGUAAUACCGACGCGCCACAGGACGAGAAAGUUGACGGUAGUUUGAGCGAUACGGCGAUCGGUUUGAACGUGGAGGACUCCUCGAGGAGGGGUCGCAAGAGUUCGCCCGGCAGUAAAAGCGGAAGCGGAAGUAGCAGCGGUGGCGGAAGCGCGGUGCAGUAUCAGUCAGGUCUCGGGAAGAAGAGUAACAGCACCAGUCAGCUGUCCGCCACAGAGUGCGGUAUCGGCGGGAUCUUCGUCGGAAGCGGUGUCGCGGAGGCACGCGCCGGUUUAUCGAGCCGGAAACGCAACAGCACGCCGAGCAGCAUACAGCGUUCCGAGGAGAUCGUACCCUAUCAACGCUUUGAAUCCGGGAAACAGUCGGGAUCGUUGGCCAGUGACACAGCCGGAAGUCUCAACUCGAUCUCUAGUUCCGAAGGAAGCUCUUGGUCUCCCAGUCUACGAAUGACAGGCGAAACCGGCCAACUGAGAGAUUUCAUCGAAGAUCUUGGGCCUGGCCAAGUGGUCGGAAGGCAGGCACUUGGUGCUCGCUGCCUUGGCGCGAUCCAGCUUUCGCUCACCCAGAAGAAAGGCUACCUUGAAGUGGAGGUCAUACGUGCCAAAGAUCUUAAACCGAAACAGGGCACUAAAGCCAUUCCAGCUUCCUACGUGAAAGUUUACUUGGUGAACGGAAAGAAAUGUAUCGCGAAAGCGAAAACGAUGGCAGCCAGAAAAACGUUGGACCCGUUUUACCAGCAGCCGUUAUCCUUUAGAGAAAAUUGCCGGGGUUGUAUACUGCAGGUAACAGUGUGGGGUGAUUACGGCCGAUUAGAAGGGAGAAAAGUGUUCAUGGGCAUUGCGCAGAUCGUGUUGGACGAACUGAACCUCAAUGAGAUGGUGUUCGGGUGGUAUAAGCUGUUUGGCAACAUAUCCCUGGUCAGUGGACCUCCAUCCUUAGCUUUAUCCCGUCGAUCCUCGGCCACGUCCUUAGAGUCCUUUAAGAUUUAAAGAGCUCUUCCAUCUAGUAUUCUCUUUACGUGUAAUCCGACGGUGGCACGAGCUUCUUUUAAUUCCCGACGGAAAGAGUAAGAAAAAAGUCAAAAAAAGAAGGUAUCGAGUAUAUUAUUAAUCGCGUUUGUCCAUAUAACGUAUACAUUUCCUUUUUCAAAGUGAAUCCAUAUAUAAUAGUUGUUUGCAAAUAUUCAAAGAUCGUUUAAAAAAAGAAUAAAACGCGUUCAUUAUAAGUAAAAUUGACAAAGAUUUUCAUGGAGAUUUCUCGCGAUACAUGUCCGUUCCAUUGUUCCCCAUUGUAAAGAUAUUAGUGUAUUAACGUUCGAAAUUUGAGAACGAUUUAUCGAUAGACCGUCGGCUCUGAAUACGGUAAAAGAAAAGUCAGUUACGAUCGAUGUCAGUAACGAGAAGAACUAUAUAAUAUAGAGAGAGAAGAGUUUGCGUGGCUAUAUUGGGCAAGUGAGUUCGUGUUGUUGAACAAAACGAGAAAAGUGUGUUUUAUUUGCAAGGUAACCGCGAGAAUGGGAAAAGUGUGAAAGGUCGUACGAGAGGACAUGUCUUUCUAGAAACACCACUAGCACAUCACAUAUCAUGUACGGCAUAUCAGAUGAGCCACUAGUCUUUAUGUAGACUAGAUGUAGAGAUAGCAGCCAUGUUCCGGGAGCGCCAGAUAGUUUUAGUGAAAGCAACGCAGAGAUACUCGAUACGAGAUCGAUACGAAUUUCAACGUGGUGUGCUAUGAGAAAGGGGUGCCGAACGGUGUUUCGAUGUUCGAUGUUGAAGUGAAAGGAAGAACGAGAAAAGCAGUGAAGUGGUGAAAUUUGUUGAAAAUGGUAAACGUCGUAACGAACGGUGAUGUGACGCGAACAUUAUGAAUCAUCGUCACGAACCACUAACGAAAUUUUAAGUAAUAUUACCGUUUCGCGUAUUCGCGAUAGACAUUUCAAAUAAUAUUUGUACAUAAUUUAGGACGCUCCGAGUGUUGACGCCAGUGACGAUUUUCAGAAAUACAGCAAAAAAAAAAGACAGUCGCAUUUAAAGAACAAUCAAAUGAACAAAUUAAAAAACAAAAAGAUAUAUUGAAAGAAGAAAAACAACAGAUAAAUAUACUUGGAACUCGUUGUCAAAGUUUUUAGCCAAGAAAUAUCAUCGUCAAGAUAGCGAGAGAGAGGGAGAGAGCGAGAGAGCGAGAGAGAGAGAGAGAGAGAGAGAAAGGAAGAGAAAGAGAGAGAGAGAGCGUAUAUUAUUUAUUGUAAAUAUUAUAACAAUGAUAUAUAUACAUAUAUAUGAAUUCGCGAUACGUAUGCGCGCAGGUGUUUACAAAAUGAUGAACAAUUGCCUUGACCGUCGCGUUCUCGUUGUCCCGUUGCCCUCGCGAUUUCGAGCAUCGCGGCACCACCCGCGCUCCAUAUUGAUUUUUACUACCACGAUCAAGAAAAUAGAGCUCGAGACGAAGAAAAUAUUCGUCGAGUCUUGUGUCGCGUUUGAUCCGUCGAAAUCGGCCGCGAAUUCGAAGGCGUCGCGAGGCGAACGGGAACGAGGCCGAGAAAUAUCAUGAAUUAGCGAAUUGUUGUUGAACGUUAAAGUAGCCCAUCUUCAACUAUUUUGCGCGAGAGAGUACGUGUGCGUGUGUGCGUGAGAAAGAAGGAGAGAAGUAAAAUGCUAACUAUAUCGACUGUCAUAUAUUGUGAUUCUGUUAGUUUUUAUUUAAUUGUCGAAAAACCUCACGAAUCGGAUGUUUACGCGUAAGGGGACAGCCGUGUACAAUUUAGAAUCUUUUAUUCUCUUUAUCAACUUGCACUCGACUUUCAACGGAACGCUCGUUUUUUUAACGUGAAUAUUUACUGAACGAACCGCCCACGUAAUUCUUGCAUACAGCGGACACGACGUCCGUGAAAUUCGCGUCUCGUUUCGUCGCGGGACUCGCCGCGGAAACCGUGUACCGCGCGAUACACACUGCUGACGAACCUUUCGGGAAAGGAAGCGUGAAACGACGCUCGACCUCGGGCAACGAACGAGGCGAACGAUCGUGAAACUCACAAUCGAUUUUAUAUCUCUUAAUUCUCAUGUUAUGUGUUCGAUCUUUGUCUGUGCAUUUGUCUGGUCACUUGUGAACACAAUUCGAUGAGCAUGCACGUGUACGUAGAGAAUAUCUAUAGCAUUAAACACUUGAUUAACGAACGUGAUUUUCUUUUCGCUGAUUGUGCUUGCAACAUGUAAAUUCUCUUUACAAGAAAAAAAAAAAAAGAAAAAAGGGAAAGAAAAAUGGGAAUAGAGAAAGAAUAACCGGGGAAGAAGACGAGAAAAAGAAUCAUUAAUUACAAAGACAAAUAAGAAAAAGGGGAAUUACUCGAGUCGAAGAUUAGAAAUAACCUGCGAAUUUAACUGCUUCGAACAAAAUACUAAUACGCUCUGCUUUUGGAUUGCACGUAUACAUUCGGUAAGAAAUAUAAUUACCUGUGGUCGUCCAUUUUUAUCACGAGAAAUUCAGUUCGUUCCCUUACAUCGCUUCACUUCUCGUUUGUUACUCUUUAAAAGGUACUCUCCUUCGAUAUUGAUCGACGUCACUGAAAUAGAGUCACCGUUUUUCUUUCGGAGAUACCGCAGAAUAGCUACUUUGAUACCAUGCAGGGGUUUAAAAUUUGCCAACGAAUUUAUUAUUUUUUUUUUUAAUAUCAAUAUCCCCUUUUCUUUAUGAUGCUCAAAUAGAACAUUUCAGAUAUUAAAAUUAGUAUUUCCAAGUUUUUCUAAGUCAGUGACUUCGACAUCGAUAUCUUGAAAUUGUCUACGCUUAUAAAAUUCGAUGUCACGCUACUGUGCUUUCAAUUUUCUCGCGACGAUUCUCAUUUUCUUCUUGUCAUUGCACUCUGCCAUAUUAUCCACUAUCGCCACGCGAAAUUUCUACAAAAUUCUAUAGAGUCCAAAGCAAGAGCAGAACAGUGAAACGUAAUCACGAUAUAAGGGCUUAGUAUCGAGAAUGAAACAGAGACGGGAUGGACGAAAUAGUGAGAAACUCGAUUAUUUUGCGGCGAAUUCUAUAGAUAGGAGGAACCAUCUGGUAACCGGGUAAUCGAUCGACCAUUAUUAAGUGGAGAAUGUAUAAAAAAAGAGGCGGUAUCUUAUCAUAUCUAUAACAUGCUUGAAUUAGUGGACAGAACGUGCAGCAUGGGAAUAAAAAAAAACGAAAAAAAGAAGCUUUUUUACUCGUGGAGAUAAAAAAAAAGAUACAAACCAAACGUAGAGCUCUAUCAGACACGACGACGUGUAAUGUAAACUAUCAAGUGAAGAAACGAAGAAAAAAAAUUACUAUUGUAAGACAAUUUCUAAAUAAAACAUUUUGCAAGUGCAUGACUUAUAUUAGUAGGCUCUUGGAACAAUGACUACAUAAUUAAUCACACAGCAAAGUAUAAACUCUGUAUUAGUGGCUAACACUUGAUAAGGGGGAAAAAUAUACAAGACGAAUUAUGUAAUACGUUCAGUUUGUAAUCCGCUGGUUACUUGCAGUUGUAAGAUCCUUCGCGAAAUUCGUUCGACCUUCAUGUCGUUGGAAUUAUUAUCGUUUUUUUUUCCUUUAUUAAUUCAUAUUUCAUUCGUAAAUGAAAUGAUAGCGUACAAAAAUUCAAUUCGAUGAAAUUAAAGUAGUUUGAACGUUUUUAUUCUCUCCUUUAAUAUUUGUUAUAGCAUAUUUGUUAUGUGUUAAAUUGUACGAAAAAGUUUCGCGAAGAUCUUAUCGUUGCGAUACUAUUAACGCUUACGAUAUAAAAUACUGCAUAUCCUAUACAAACGUAGGACCUUUAUAAUUAGUAGCCGGUUUUAAGAAAUUCUAAACGAGAGAAGGAGCAAAAGCGCGAGGAAAAAGAAAACGGGUUUACUUUAAUAUAAUAACAUCGAUAAAGUAAUUCGGAGAACUAUGACAAGAACAUCGGCAAAUUCUCGUAGGAAAUUGCGCUAGAAAUUUUGAAGGGAAUCAGAAGCGAAAACCAGCUGGCUAGAUGUGAAGAAUGAUAAAUCAGAUAUAUUGUGUUUCAUUUAACGUAAUUUUGAUCUAAUUUCUACCUUGACUUUCUUCGCAGCAUCAAUUUUUUAUUUGCUAUUUGUUUAUUUGAGUAUCUUUUAAAUUAUUUUAUUAAAAAAUAUGUUCAAUAAAAGUAAAGAAAAUUCUAUUCUCUCUAAACUAAAAUGUGAUAAGCGUAUGACUUAUUUACUAUUUGCUUUGAAAAUCGUCAAGUGUUGCUGAAGAAAAACAAUGCAAGUGGAGGAACAACGCGAAGGGAGCCAAGGUGAAGCUUGUUAAUUUUCACACUCUUGCCAUGCCCAUUUGUACAUAGGCAUGCUCAAUCUUAGGAUCGAACACGCAUCGUGAAUCACAUAUAUAUUAUAUAUACACAUAUACAUACAAAUAGUAUUAACUACGGAAACGAACAAAUUAAUAUCCAACUUUGUACCUAUAUACUUACAAAUUAACUUAAACGAAAACGAAAAAGAGGGUUGGAAGGGAGACAAAAAAAAAAGAAGAGAAAUACUUUCGAACAAAUAUAAUCGAGUCGAAUAAAAAAUAAUGGCUGAUACGAGAUAGAAGGGGGCGUCAUAUUGAGAAAAAAAAAGAGAAAAUAAAUUAAACGCAAAGAGAGAUAGAAUGAGUAAAUAAUAAGAUUUACACGGAAUGCAGAAAAUCUGAGAGCCAAGGGGUACCACUUUUGUCAAAUUUAGAGAGCCAAUUUAGGUUUACGAUUAUGAUAUAGGGUAUGCGAGGAAGAACGAGUGCGAGAACAGAAAGAAAGAAAGAAAGGAAGAGAAGCAGGGAAAUAAGACAAAAAACAGAGGGACAUUGUCAACGAUUUCUUUACAAUGAAAUUCAUUACUUACUUAAAAAAUUCGUAGAGACGAUCCAGCGUAGCAUAGAAGUGUUCCUGUAAUCGCGUCGAACGGUAUCUCGAUCGAUCACGUGCCUCGAAUUCGUCACAUUUACACUGAAUUUCGGUCAAGUCGUGCACAAACGAACAUGUAAUAAUCGCACUGAAUAAGAUCGUUUCGACGGAACUCAGAAAUACUUAAACAGACAUUUGUCAAAUGCCUCAAUCACGCGACUUCCGGAUGCAUACUUCUGAUUCACGUAGUCCGCCGCAAGUGUCGCUCGCGACGUAAUCGACGCACGCUAUCGAUCGUACGAUCACGCGGACACCGAUUCUCGAAUAUCGAUGAGGCAAACUUCAUACCGUUCGAAUAGCGCGCGUUUUACCGCCCGAAACGGUUUCUAAUUUAUCUGUACGAGACGAAAUCUGUCCGAAUUUAUUUCGAAAAGGAACACGGAGGAGUACGGGCGAGAGAGCGAGGAAGAGAGAAAGGCAGAGAGCGAGGGAGAGAGAAAGGUAGAGAGCGAGGACGAGAGAAAGGCAGAGAGCGAGAACGAGAGAAAGGCAGAGAGCGAGAACGAGAGAAAGGCAGAGAGCGUGGGAUAUCACGAGAAAAAAAGGUGCGUCAUUUUCGUUAAAAAAAGAUGAGAGAGAGAGAGAGAGAGAACAAAAAAGGAUAAAGAGAUACAAAGGCGAAAAGAAUUUAAACAAUACGAUUAGACAACGUUCCGUGGGAAAACAAAAAGAACUCGGCCGGGAACUCCUCCGACGAUUUCUUUUUCUUUCGUCCCCGGUGAAAUGUCUGGGAUCGAUACGGAAUCGGGUACAGAUCCCUCACGUGAAACCGUUUUUAAUCCUAGUUCUGUAUAUAUCACUGGUUCGGCCAACCGGUAAUAAAAAAAAGAAAAAAAAAUUUUCGAAAUGCAGCACUGCUACGAUUCGAGGAGUUCAUGGCGGGAUCUACGCGGAAUGAAUUAAUAUAAAGCGUUAGUGACUGUAUCCAGUAUAAUAUAUCUGAUAAAAGAUACCCCUGAUGCCAGACAUGGCGUGUGACAAUAAAGUGAUUCAAUGAU